GACCUUAGUUGCCAGCAUUCAGUUGGGCACUCUAAGGUGACUGCCGGCUAAAAAGUCGGAGGAAGAUGGGGAUGACGUCAAAUCAUCAUGCCCCUUAUGACCUGGGCUACACACGUGCUACAAUGGGCGGUACAAAGGGUCGCGAACCCGCGAGGGGGAGCCAAUCCCAAAAAGCCGCUCUCAGUUCGGAUUGCAGGCUGCAACUCGCCUGCAUGAAGCCGGAAUCGCUAGUAAUCGCGGAUCAGCAUGCCGCGGUCGAAUACGUUCCCGGGCCUU
rnacentral:rRNA from 1 species